UGGGGAAUAUUGGGCAAUGGGCGAAAGCCUGACCCAGCGACGCCGCGUGAAGGAAGAAGGCCCUCGGGUUGUAAACUUCAGUCAACAGGGAAGAAACAAAUGACGGUACCUGUGGAGGAAGCCACGGCUAACUACGUGCCAGCAGCCGCGGUAAUACGUAGGUGGCAAGCGUUAUCCGGAUUUACUGGGUGUAAAGGGUGUGUAGGCGGGUCUGCAAGUCAGAUGUGAAAACUAUGGGCUCAACUCAUAGCUUGCAUUUGAAACUGUGGAUCUUGAGUGUCGGAGAGGUAAAUGGAAUUCCCGGUGUAGAGGUGAAAUUCGUAGAUAUCGGGAGGAACACCAGUGGCGAAGGCGGUUUACUGGACGAUUACUGACGCUGAGACACGAAAGUGUGGGGAGCAAACAGG
rnacentral:rRNA from 1 species